AGGUGUGGUGGGAGUGGCAGUUGAAUGGGGCAGUUGGAGAGGAGGGCUCCCAGCAGGUGGGACAAGGGAAAAGAAACCUGAGGUCCCUAGAGGAGGAAGCUAGAGUACAAGUGUCCCGAAGCCAAGAGUCUAGGGCUCCAGAACACCAUCAAGAUGGUGGGUGAAGGCCCGUACCUUAUCUCAGACCUGGAUCGCAGAGGCCAUCGGAGAUCCUUUGCCGAGAGAUAUGAUCCUAGUCUGAAAACCAUGAUCCCAGUGCGACCCCGUGCAAGGUUGGCACCCAAUCCUGUGGAUGAUGCUGGGCUGCUGUCCUUCGCCACGUUUUCCUGGCUCACACCGGUGAUGAUUCGAAGUUACAAGCACACGCUGACUGUGGACACCCUGCCCCCACUAUCUCCUUAUGACUCAUCGGACAUCAACGCCAAGAGAUUCCAGAUCCUUUGGGAAGAAGAAAUAGAGAGGGUAGGGCCUGAGAAGGCCUCCCUGGGCCGUGUGGUCUGGAAAUUCCAGAGGACCCGAGUUCUGAUGGACGUUGUAGCCAACAUCCUGUGCAUCGUCAUGGCAGCCUUGGGGCCGACAGUUCUCAUUCACCAAAUCCUCCAGCACAUUACCAGCAUCUCCUCCGGACACAUCGGGAUCGGCAUCUGCUUGUGUCUGGCCCUCUUUACCACCGAGUUCACCAAAGUCCUCUUUUGGGCUCUUGCCUGGGCCAUAAAUUACCGCACAGCGAUCCGACUGAAGGUGGCCCUCUCCACGCUAAUCUUCGAAAACCUGCUGUCCUUUAAGACGUUAACUCACAUCUCUGCAGGCGAGGUACUCAAUAUACUAUCAAGUGAUAGCUAUUCCUUGUUUGAGGCUGCCUUGUUUUGUCCCUUGCCAGCCACCAUCCCGAUCCUAAUGGUCGUUUGUGCAGUGUACGCCUUUUUCAUUCUGGGGUCCACAGCUCUUGUCGGGAUAAGUGUGUAUCUCAUAUUCAUCCCGAUCCAGAUGUUUAUGGCCAAACUCAACUCAACUUUCCGAAGGUCAGCAAUUUCAGUGACAGACAAACGGGUUCAGACAAUGAAUGAGUUUCUGACCUGCAUCAAGCUGAUUAAAAUGUACGCCUGGGAGGAAUCUUUUAUAAACACCAUUCACGACAUAAGAAAGAGAGAGAAAAAAUUACUGGAAAAGGCUGGCUAUGUCCAAAGUGGAAACUCAGCCCUGGCUCCCAUUGUGUCCACCAUAGCCAUUGUGUCUACUUUCACCUGCCACAUUUUCUUGAAACGCAAGCUCACUGCCCCUGUGGCAUUUAGCGUGAUUGCCAUGUUUAAUGUAAUGAAGUUUUCCAUUGCAAUCUUGCCUUUCUCGGUCAAAGCAGUGGCCGAAGCCAGUGUCUCUCUAAGGAGAAUGAAGAAAAUCCUCAUAGCUAAAAGUCCCCCAUCCUACAUCACUCAACCAGAAGACCCAGAUACUAUCUUGCUUUUAGCAAAUGCCACCUUGACAUGGGAACAAGAAAUCAACAGGAAAAGUGACCCGCCGAAGGCACAACAUCAGAAAAGGCACGUUUUCAAGAAACAGAGGCCAGAGCUAUACAGUGAGCAAAGUCGAUCAGAUCAGGGGGCUGCUAGCCCGGAGUGGCAAACUGGCAGCCCCAAGUCAGUGCUACACAACAUCAGCUUUGUGGUGAGAAAGGGGAAGGUCUUGGGAAUAUGCGGGAAUGUUGGAAGCGGGAAGAGUUCCCUUAUUUCAGCUCUCCUAGGACAGAUGCAGUUACAGAAAGGGGUUGUGGCUGUCAAUGGACCUUUGGCUUACGUUUCCCAGCAAGCAUGGAUCUUCCAUGGAAAUGUGAGGGAGAACAUACUGUUUGGAGAGAAAUACAACCACCAAAGGUACCAACACACAGUUCAUGUCUGUGGUCUCCAGAAGGACUUGAACAGCCUCCCUUAUGGAGACCUGACUGAGAUUGGAGAGAGGGGUGUCAACCUCUCUGGGGGACAGAGGCAGAGGAUCAGCCUGGCCCGUGCUGUGUAUGCUAAUCGUCAGCUCUACCUGCUGGAUGACCCGCUCUCGGCUGUGGAUGCCCACGUGGGGAAGCAUGUCUUUGAAGAAUGCAUUAAGAAGACACUCAAAGGGAAGACAGUUGUGCUGGUUACCCACCAGUUGCAGUUCCUGGAGUCUUGUGAUGAGGUCAUUCUGUUAGAAGAUGGAGAGAUCUGUGAAAAGGGCACCCACAAGGAGUUGAUGGAAGAGAGAGGGCACUAUGCAAAGCUUAUCCACAACCUCCGGGGACUGCAAUUCAAGGAUCCAGAGCACAUUUACAAUGUAGCCAUGGUGGAGACCCUGAAGGAGAGCCCAGCUCAGAGGGAUGAAGACGCUGUCUUGGCUUCAGGAGAUGAGAAGGACGAAGGAAAAGAACCUGAAACGGAAGAAUUUGUGGACACAAACGCUCCCGUUCACCAGCUCAUCCAGACUGAAUCCCCCCAAGAAGGGAUCGUGACCUGGAAAACAUAUCACACGUAUAUUAAGGCUUCUGGAGGGUACCUGGUCUCCUUCCUGGUUUUGUGUCUCUUCUUCCUGAUGAUGGGCAGCUCUGCUUUCAGCACCUGGUGGCUGGGGAUCUGGUUAGACAGGGGCUCCCAGGUCAUCUGUGCACCCCAGAACAAUAAGACAGCCUGCAAUGUCGACCAGACCCUGCAAGACACCAAAUACCACAUGUACCAGUUGGUUUACAUAGCAAGCAUGGUGUCUGUGUUGAUGUUUGGCAUCAUCAAAGGCUUUACCUUCACCAACACUACACUGAUGGCAUCUUCCUCUCUCCACAACAGAGUAUUUAACAAGAUCGUCAGGAGCCCAAUGAGCUUCUUCGACACAACUCCCACAGGCCGGCUAAUGAACCGCUUCUCUAAAGACAUGGACGAGCUGGACGUGAGGCUGCCGUUUCACGCUGAGAACUUUCUGCAGCAGUUUUUUAUGGUUGUGUUUAUUCUGGUGAUUAUGGCUGCCGUGUUUCCCGUUGUCCUUGUGGUGCUGGCUGGCCUGGCUGUAAUCUUCCUCAUUCUUUUACGCAUCUUUCAUCGAGGAGUCCAGGAGCUCAAGCAGGUGGAGAACAUCAGCCGGUCACCUUGGUUCUCUCACAUCACCUCCUCCAUACAGGGUCUGGGCGUCAUCCACGCCUAUGAUAAAAAGGACGACUGCAUCAGCAAGUUUAAGACACUCAACGACGAAAACUCCAGCCACCUCCUGUACUUCAACUGCGCGCUCAGGUGGUUUGCCCUCCGAAUGGACAUUCUCAUGAACAUUGUCACCUUUGUUGUGGCCUUGCUGGUGACCCUGAGUUUUUCUUCAAUCAGCGCCUCAUCCAAAGGCUUGUCAUUGUCUUACAUCAUCCAGCUCAGUGGAUUGCUUCAAGUGUGUGUGCGAACAGGAACAGAGACCCAAGCCAAGUUCACCUCUGCAGAGCUACUGAGGGAGUACAUUUUGACCUGUGUUCCUGAACACACUCACCCCUUCAAAGUGGGGACCUGUCCCAAAGACUGGCCGAGCCGAGGGGAGAUAACGUUCAAGGACUAUCGGAUGAGAUACAGAGACAACACCCCUCUCGUUCUUGAUGGGCUGAACCUGAACAUCCAAAGCGGGCAGACAGUUGGGAUUGUGGGAAGGACGGGCUCCGGAAAAUCAUCCCUGGGCAUGGCCCUGUUUCGUCUGGUGGAACCAGCCUCUGGUACCAUCAUCAUUGACGAGGUGGAUAUCUGCACUGUGGGUCUGGAAGACCUCCGAACCAAGCUGACCAUGAUCCCCCAGGAUCCUGUCCUGUUUGUAGGUACAACUUGGACCCCUUGGGGAGUCACACCGACGAGAUGCUCUGGCAUGUUUUGGAAAGAACUUUCAUGAGAGACACAAUAAUGAAACUCCCAGAGAAAUUACAGGCAGAAGUCACAGAAAAUGGGGAAAACUUCUCAGUAGGAGAACGCCAGCUGCUUUGUAUGGCCCGGGCACUUCUCCGUAAUUCAAAAAUCAUUCUCCUUGAUGAAGCUACUGCCUCCAUGGAUUCCAAGACAGACACCCUUGUUCAGAGCACCAUAAAGGAGGCCUUCAAAAGCUGCACAGUGUUGACCAUCGCUCAUCGCCUGAACACGGUUCUCAACUGUGACCUUGUCCUGGUGAUGGAAAAUGGGAAGGUGAUUGAGUUUGACAAGCCCGAAGUCCUCGCUGAGAAGCCCGACUCUGCAUUUGCGAUGUUACUAGCUGCAGAGGUUGGACUGUAAAGGUCCUGUGGGUGAUUUGAGAGGAGGCGAUGGACAUGUGAGAACAGAAGCCCGACCGCAGAGCCAAGCAGCCCUGGCCACAGCCCCUCCCAACCAUGGAGCACAUGGUGAGCUGGGGCUGAAAUGUGUCCCUUGCUCUUCUGGCUAUCUCUCUUGGCAGACUCAGGGUUGGUUCUGGAUGGUGAAGAGUGCAGACAAAGCUGGUAGGUUGGAAGCUGCCUCUCACUUCUGAAAACCCCAAGGGUCCCUCACGUGUCCUCACCAAUACUACAUAAUGUCCGAGAAUGGGAACAUUCUAACUUUCUGUCCAAAAGCAGUAAAAGCAAAUGAGAUGGGAAAAUGCCCAAGGCUGGAGAUGACAGCGUUCCUGGAUUUUGUUACCAGACAAGAGAGAAGGGUUUUCUUUCUGUUUAAUUUCAUUCCACUCUUAGCUAACUAUGUGGCAAGCAGUAACCGCAUAGAUCUAUAGCAUGGGAGACUGAUGAUAGUGUUUGGCAUGAGAUUUUUUUUCCAAAGAAAUCAUAUUGUAUGUUGCAGUUGAUCUGUUAAAAUAACCAGAAAGCAAAACACUGGGGUUUCUGAAUAAAUUACAUUUUUAUAUCUUCUUUAUCAGUCAUUAAAAUGCAAUAAGAAAC